rnacentral:rRNA from 1 species
UGGGGAAUAUUGCACAAUGGGCGCAAGCCUGAUGCAGCCAUGCCGCGUGUGUGAAGAAGGCCUUCGGGUUGUAAAGCACUUUCAGCGGGGAGGAAGGCGGUGAGGUUAAUAACCUCAUCGAUUGACGUUACCCGCAGAAGAAGCACCGACUAACUCCGUGCCAGCAGCCGCGGUAAUACGGAGGGUGCAAGCGUUAAUCGGAAUUACUGGGCGUAAAGCGCACGCAGGCGGUUUGUUAAGUCAGAUGUGAAAUCCCCGGGCUCAACCUGGGAACUGCAUCUGAUACUGGCAAGCUGGAGUCUCGUAGAGGGGGGUAGAAUUCCAUGUGUAGCGGUGAAAUGCGUAGAGAUGUGGAGGAAUACCGGUGGCGAAGGCGGCCCCCUGGACAAAGACUGACGCUCAGGUGCGAAAGCGUGGGGAGCAAACAGG